GGCGCUUUGGCGGAGUGGUUAACGCGCUGCCCUGCUAAGGCAGUUCCGUAAGCGGCGUUGAGCCAUAGGAUGCAUUGGCUCAAAUCAGCUAAUGAUUAACAGUUCGGGAGCAAGAGUUCGAAUCUCUUAGGCGUCG